rnacentral:rRNA from 1 species
UAGUCCACGCCGUAAACGAUGUGUGCUAGUUGUCGGGUCCAUAGGAUUCGGUGACGCAGUUAACGCACUAAGCACACCGCCUGGGGAGUACGGUCGCAAGAUUAAAACUCAAAGGAAUUGACGGGGACCCGCACAAGCGGUGGAGCAUGUUGUUUAAUUCGACGCAACGCGAAGAACCUUACCUACACUUGACAUACUCGUCGGGACUUUCAGAGAUGAUUGUCUUCGGUUCGGCCGGACGAUGUACAGGUGCUGCGUGGCUGUCGUCAGCUCGUGUUGUGAAAUGUUGGGUUAAGUCUCGCAACGAGCGCAACCCCUAUCUUUAGUUGCCAGCAUUAAGUUGGGCACUCUAGAGAGACUGCCCGGGUUAACCGGGAGGAAGGUGGGGAUGGCGUCAAGUCCUCAUGGCCCUUACAAGCUGGGCUACACACGUGCUACAAUGGCGAUGACAGUGGGCAGCGACCCCGCAAGGGUGAGCUAAUCUCCAAAAGUCGUACUCAGUUCGGAUUGCU